CAUAACCUUUCUGAGCUCUAUCUCUUUCUCUCUCCUUUUAAAAGUUUUAUAAUACGUUAUGGCUUUUUUUUUUCUACGAUUUCAUAACAAUAAAGAAUUUUUUAGUUGGCGUCGCAUUAACAUGCAAACGAUAUAUUAUAAAAGAAUGAUGAAUAUGAUUUUUAUUCUGUACUGUAUAGUAAUAAAGCAGUAUACCAUGGCGUACGUGUCAGGCAAAACAUAACUAAGCGGAGCAUCUGAUGCUAAAGCCUUUGAUCAAGUGCUGAUCUCCAAAUCGUUUGUUCCAUUCUCUUCAAAUGCCACCACUACCUAAUUGGCGUUGUCAUCUUGUUUACUGUCACUGAUGAUUCGAAUUCUUCUGCGCUCAGCAGUUUUGGAACUCUGCUAUAAAACAGCAUGUUUGGAAGAAGACAAUAAUCGUGGCUACCGAGUUAGAUUUAUAAAAACUUUCAUUGUUCAGUACUACAUCUCGUUUGUUUUAGACAGAUCUUGAGUGAAAAAUGGCUUCAGUGAAGGCUGAAAAAACAGUGAGCACUCAAUCAUCUGGGCAGGUGAAGGAGCCUGCAGCCAAGCCCAGUGAUAAUGCAACCAAAGCUCCAGCAUCCAAGUCUGGUGCAAAGAAAGCCGCACCGAAGGCACCUCCGGAACCAAAGAAGAAGGGAAAAGGAGGCAAAUCAUCAAAGCACUAACCAAACUUACUUAAUGUUUGCUGUGUGAUGUCUGAGUACAAAAAGCAGCUACAAGAAGAUCACAGUUUACAUUUCUAUAAUACCCUUAUGGUUUAGUUAAAUUGCAUGUGUACUAAGAAAUUAAUAUCCAUGUAAGUCUUAGCUAGGCUAGGCCUAUUACAAUAACAACGAUCUUCUGAGUA